rnacentral:tRNA from 1 species
GCGGGCGUAGCUCAUGGGUAGAGCACAACCUUGCCAAGGUUGGGGUCGAGGGUUCGAAUCCCUUCGCCCGCUCCA